rnacentral:lncRNA from 1 species
CGGAGGAAGCCGCCGACGCUCUCGGGCAAAGGCAGGCGCUUGAGGUAGGCGGGCAGCUGAACCUUAACGAUACGCGCCAGGCUCUCCAGCACCAUGGCGGCGACCCCCCAGCAGCAGCGGGAGGAGGGCACGCGCGACGGCCGUUAGCACCGCCCGCUUCUUCAGCCCGCCCCCGUCGCGCAUGCGCCACGGGAUGGAACGGCGCCUGCCGGGCCCGCCCCCACCGCUCGGGCCGGGAACGCCGCAGGGGGGCGCUGCAGCCGCAGAGGGCAGUGGCCGUUGCGACGGGAGGGGCGAUGGGCGCGGCUGAGCGCCGCCUCGGUGGGGCGCGGGGCUGAGGCGAGCGAGGUGGUGGACGGUUCUCUCGGCCCGGCGGCUCUCACUGGAAGACUUAAGGAUUUCAAGGAACAGGAAAAUCUUCACACUAUAUUGUCACUACAAGACUAAAAACGUACUAAGCAAUCAAGUGUUAAGUAAAAUCCUGAAGGCCAAAA